rnacentral:tRNA from 1 species
GCCUUCGUGAUGUAGUGGUCAGCACACUCGGUGCGUAUUCGAGAGGUCCGUGGUUCAAGUCCCGGCGAGGGCA